ensembl:lncRNA
CUGAACUCUACUGACCAGCCUAGGAUAAAAGAGUUCAUUCACAAGACAGGAGAUCGGCCUGAGUCCUCUGUGUAGCCCACAAGAUUAUUCACACAGCAGCUUGCGCCUGAGAAACGAGGAACACACGUAUUGUGGAAUCACUAGUGAUGACUGCCAGGGAACAAGCCUUUCCCAGUAUUGGUCUUUUCCAAUGAAUUGGCUCUUGACAUCAAAUGGCUAAAGUAUCAUUAAUAAUCAUUCUUGGAAGUCUGACUGUAAUGUGGAUUGUCAUUCAUGACUCAACCUUCAAGGAUAUACUACAAUAAAAAGAAAAAUACGAAGAAAGCUACUGGGAAAAUUUCAGCUGAAAAAACAUGAGCUGGACUUGAACUUAGGUUAACUUCACCUGCCCAGCAAACAAGGCCCAUCCUUUCUUAACUUUGACUUUCUAUGGACAAAUUUAUGUCUGCUAGAUUACAGAGCACUGGUAAGGAUAUAACUUAAGCCUGGAACACAAGUAUUACGUGCAAAUUUCAUGUGCUACUUUAAUAGUCACACCUACUUACUGAAACACUGUGCCAAGACGACAGAGGGACUGCUCUGUAAACCAGUUUCUCAGAUUUGAGGAACCCUGCUUAUUGGAGAACUCCACCAACUAUUGUGAAUGUACUAUCCUCCCUAAAUUCUUUAAUGUGUGUUUUUUUUUUAAUAUAGUCCCUCAAUUAGUUUGUAUUCUAUGAUGUAAACACAACUUCUAUGUAUCAGUUAGGAACUCCUUUUUUUUUCCUGGAUGCCUAACACAUGUUGGUCAUUUAUACCUAAGAUUUUGCGAGGAAUCAGAGUUUCAUAGAUAAGUGUAAUCAUACCUUGAUAAAACAUUUCUGUUGUUACUAAAGUUAAUGGAAAGUUAACGUCGAAAGUUAAUGGAUAUGGCAGUUAAUGUACAAAAGCAUUCAUGUUGGGACUUUCUCUAUACUAAGUCCCCUACUGCUCAAAAGUUGUUUUCUGCAUUGUUUUUGCCCUUUAUUUGUUUACUUGAUCACUUUGUUUCUGUUGAUAUCUAGAAUUGUUAUGUGACUUAUAGAAUUAAGAAGGCGGCUUAUGUUACUUUGCCUCAUCCCUAUGCUCUUCAGCCUAAGCAAUCCUGAGGCUGACUGUUAGGGAAAUUAAAAUGGAGGAAUUCUUAUUCAGGCUUCAGAAGCAAGAAAGCAGGUGUCUGACCUUGUGUGGACACUGCCUGGAUCAAUGCUUGCCCGCAGGCACAGCUGGUCAGGUGGCGCUUUAGAUAAAAAGGGAGUGGUCUUGGAAUUCUUGAGCCCCUGGAGGUCUGGCCAGCCACUCAGGAUUUAACAGACUCCUGUGACUCGCAAGGUUAAGCAAACAAUAUUGUAAAAUGUUAAAGUAAAAUCAGAGCUGCAUUUUUGCACACAAAAGUGAUAAUGAUAUCAGUUUGCAACCUGGAAUUAUAAGCAGGAACUUCUGAAACUACAAUUUGAAGUCUCAUCCAUGGAGUGGGCACACUGCCCAGGACCCUUUCUCAACUGGGACUCCAGACAGCGGUUAAUGAGGGACUUCCCAGCAUGCUGUUCAAGUCUAGAUGUUCGUCAGCCCAUUUGGUGAUGUAUGUGCUGUUACUCUUCUUUAUUCUUUCUAUUUCACUUUUCUUUUAAAGAUUGCCUAUUGAAAUUAAGG